rnacentral:rRNA from 1 species
GAUGAACGCUGGCGGCGUGCCUAAUACAUGCAAGUCGAGCGAACAGACGAGGAGCUUGCUCCUCUGACGUUAGCGGCGGACGGGUGAGUAACACGUGGAUAACCUACCUAUAAGACUGGGAUAACUUCGGGAAACCGGAGCUAAUACCGGAUAAUAUAUUGAACCGCAUGGUUCAAUAGUGAAAGACGGUUUUGCUGUCACUUAUAGAUGGAUCCGCGCCGCAUUAGCUAGUUGGUAAGGUAACGGUUUACCAAGGCAACGAUGCGUAGCCGACCUGAGAGGGUGAUCGGCCACACUGGAACUGAGACACGGUCCAGACUCCUACGGGAGGCAGCAGUAGGGAAUCUUCCGCAAUGGGCGAAAGCCUGACGGAGCAACGCCGCGUGAGUGAUGAAGGUCUUCGGAUCGUAAAACUCUGUUAUUAGGGAAGGACAAAUGUGUAAGUAACUAUGCACGUCUUGACGGUACCUAAUCAGAAAGCCACGGCUAACUACGUG